rnacentral:lncRNA from 1 species
UGGUUAGUUACCGGAGUUCUAUAUAACCCCGUUUUUCAUGGAUUUGGUAACACCUUUCUAAGUUGUAUCCAUCAAAUCUGUGAAAAGAAUAUUGUGUAUUCAACCUGCAGUUGAACACUCAAUACCAGUGGAACCAAAUUAUAUGCCCAUCCCGUAUCUAUUUAAUAACAUGACCUUUGCAAAGAAAGUAGCUACCAAGGUAGACAAGAGAUUGACUAUUACUAGGGCUCCAACAGUAUUUAAUAGGCUUAGGAAUGACAAGCACCAUAAGGAAGAACAUGAAAAAAUGGGGGUAUAUAGAAUUCUAGUAACUAAACAUGAAACUAAUCAACAAGCAGCUUAUAUAGGAGUUACAAGCAGGACCCUGGCACAGCACAUAAAGGAACAUAAAAAUGACAUAAAAAAUGCCAG